AUUCCGCUACCAUUUAUACUCCAUGUGGCCAUGACGGUCUUCUGCUGCAAGCUGGGCUACAUCUAGGAGAAUUACAAAUGCACAGCUCUCAUCUAAAAAAGUCAUCUGAAAGAGAAACAUGAAUUUAUUAAAGCUUAGUGAAAGCUACUCAUUCUUCUCAUUCUGAAGUGGCUGAAAUCAUAUGUAACCAAGAAAGAGCCAGAGAGUGGAGGACAGCAUUUGACAAUACAAGAGACACAUGUCUUCUGAGGCAGUCUAGAACCCUCUAUAGGUCAGCAUCAAAUAUAUGCAGAUCUCCAUUAGAAUCAAAGUGGUUUCAAUCAAGUUCAUAGGCUAAAAAACUGACUUGCUUGAAGAAAAGAAGAUUCAAUCUCAGUCUUGGAUCGCAGACACACCCUCAGCUGUGUUGAAUGAAUGGCACAAACACAUGCUUGGAAAGACUAACAUCCAGCAUUUUAACAAAAUUAAAUCAAGUGAACUUCUCUGUAGCUAUGAUAUUUUAUGAAAAUCCUUUUGUCAGGAUUUUUUUCUCCU